rnacentral:tRNA from 1 species
AAGAUAUUAGAAAANNNAUUUCAUAGCUUCGUCAAAGCUAAAUCAUAGGCCAAAUCCUAUAUAUCUUA